UACGUAGGGCGCGAAGCGUUAUCCGGAAUUCGAUUGGGCGUAAAGAGCUCGUAGGCGGUUUGUCGCGUCUGCCCGUGAAAAGUCCGGGGGCUCAACUCCGGAUCUGCGGUGGGUACGGGCAGACUAGAGUGAUGUAGGGGAGACUGGAAUUCCUGGUGUAGCGGUGAAAUGCGCAGAUAUCAGGAGGAACACCGGUGGCGAAGGCGGGUCUCUGGGCAACAACUGACGCUGGAGGAGCGAAAGCGUGGGGAGCGAACAGG
rnacentral:rRNA from 1 species